CAGCAGCCGCGGUAAUACGAAGGGUGCAAGCGUUACUCGGAAUUACUGGGCGUAAAGCGUGCGUAGGUGGUGGUUUAAGUCCGUUGUGAAAGCCCUGGGCUCAACCUGGGAAUUGCAGUGGAUACUGGAUCACUAGAGUGUGGUAGAGGAUAGUGGAAUUUCCGGUGUAGCAGUGAAAUGCGUAGAGAUCGGAAGGAACAUCUGUGGCGAAGGCGGCCAUCUGGGACAACACUGACGCUGAAGCACGAAAGCGUGGGGAGCAAACAGGAUUAGAUACCCCCGUAGUCCCUGUCUCUUAUAC
rnacentral:rRNA from 1 species